AUAUCAAUAAGCGGAGGAAAAGAAACUAACAAGGAUUCCCCUAGUAACGGCGAGUGAAGCGGGAACAGCUCAAAUUUGAAAUCUCAGCGCAAGCUGCGAAUUGUAGUUUAGAGAAACGUUUUCGGGGCCGGCAGCCAGUACAAGUUCUUUGGAACAAGGCAUCACAGAGGGUGAAAAUCCCGUCUUUGACUGGCUGCUUGGUUCCAUGUGAUACGUUUUCCAAGAGUCGGUUUGUUUGGGAAUGCAGACCAAAAUGGGUGGUAAAUACCAUCUAAAGCUAAAUAUUGGCGAGAGACCGAUAGCGCACAAGUA
rnacentral:rRNA from 1 species